GGCAUAGUACAUAUAAAAUUGAAUAAACUGUUGAAAUAUUAUUCCCAUUUUUUUAUUCUGCUGUAAUCUUUUAACAUGUUCUUUUUUUUUAAGAUCGGACUCUGGUAUUUUUGUCACCUAUUUCAUGGAAACCUUUGAUGGAACAAACAUUGCUUGGUUCACAAAGUGUGACAUCCAAGCCCUAAAGGAGAAGAAAUUGUUUCAGUUAGUUUUCAGCAAAGAAAACAAAGCAAGACCUUUAGUAGUUUCAAACUUCAGGCGUCAAUAUAAUAUAGGAGUCUAUUAGACCUACGACAAAUGCGAAGAAUCAUUGGCUCCAAAAAACAUUCACCGCUGCAGAUCUAUUUUCUUUUAUGUCUUGUUUUCGACACUGUAAUGUAAGACCAACUGUUAAGAAAUGUGCUGGUUCUCACGAGACCAAACAAAUGAUACUGCAGAAUA